GAUGAAGAACGCAGCGAAAUGCGAUAAGUAGUGUGAAUUGCAGAAUUCAGUGAAUCAUCGAAUCUUUGAACGCACAUUGCGCCCCUUGGUAUUCCAUGGGGCAUGCCUGUUCGAGCGUCAUUUGUACCUUCAAGCUUUGCUUGGUGUUGGGUGUUUGUCCUGAGGGACUCGCCUUAAAGUAAUUGGCAGCCAGUGUUUUGGUUUUGAAGCGCAGCACAAGUCGCGAUUCAAAGCUAUACGCCAGCUUCCACAAGCCUUUUUCACUCUUGACCUCGGAUCAGGUAGGGAUACCCGCUGAACUUAAGCAUAUCAAUAAGCGGAGGA
rnacentral:misc_RNA from 1 species